rnacentral:rRNA from 1 species
UACGGAGGGUGCAAGCGUUAUCCGGAAUCAUUGGGUUUAAAGGGUCCGCAGGCGGAUUUAUAAGUCAGUGGUGAAAGCCUACAGCUUAACUGUAGAACUGCCAUUGAAACUGUAAGUCUUGAAUUCGGUCGAAGUGGGCGGAAUAUGACAUGUAGCGGUGAAAUGCUUAGAUAUGUCAUAGAACACCGAUAGCGAAGGCAGCUCACUAGGCCUGGAUUGACGCUCAGGGACGAAAGCGUGGGGAGCAAACAGGAUUAGAUACCCUGGUAGUCCACGCCGUAAACUAUCAAUACUCGUUCUCGGCGAUAUACAGUCGGGGACUAAGCGAAAGUGAUAAGUAUUGCACCUGGGGAGUACGAUCGCAAGGUUG